GCUACAUGAGCUAAAUAGAAACUCCAAAUGUUCCUAGCCAACCUAGGUAAGGUCAAAUCAAUAGUACUGGUAACCUCUGUAGCAUGAAGUAAAGCCCUAUCUACUAUUGUCUUUGGGUGCGCACUUCUGCCUUCAAAGAUCCGAGCAUUUCUAUCCAGCCAUAUGUGAUGGGCCACAUAGGUAUAUCUGAUGCCCCACUUCAUAGUGCUAGGUCUUCGCCGGGACUCCAUCA
rnacentral:lncRNA from 1 species